GAAAUCUUGCUGUUCUUAGUAUAGCAAUUAUACCGCGAAACUGCGAAUGGCUCAUUAAAUCAGUUAUCGUUUAUUUGAUAGUACCUUACUACAUGGAUAACCGUGGUAAUUCUAGAGCUAAUACAUGCUAAAAAUCCCGACUUCGGAAGGGAUGUAUUUAUUAGAUUAAAAACCAAUGCCCUUCGGGGCUCUCUGGUGAUUCAUAAUAACUUCUCGAAUCGCACGGCCUUGCGCCGGCGAUGGUUCAUUCAAAUUUCUGCCCUAUCAACUUUCGACGGCUGGGUCUUGGCCAGCCGUGGUGACAACGGGUAACGGGGAAUGGGGCGGGGGCGGCGGGCCGGGCGCGGGGCGCGGCGGGCGA
rnacentral:rRNA from 1 species